UUAUAUGUGCUCUGUGCAAGCUCUUAUUUUGCAGAAAAAUUCAGAAAAAUAAACAAGACCUCAGUUAGGCACAAAACCAGCUGAGAUGACGAAGCAACAGUAAGGCCAUAGAGCCCGAAUUACAAAGAAGACUCCGGGAUCCCCUAAGAACUCCCGGGUAACCAAACAAGACCGGGAUCCCCUAAGAACUCCCGGGUAACCAAAGAAGACUCCGGGAUCCCCUAAGAACUCCCGGGUAACCAAAGAAGAC
rnacentral:lncRNA from 1 species